UGGGGAAUUUUCCGCAAUGGGCGAAAGCCUGACGGAGCAAUACCGCGUGAGGGAUGAAGGCUCGUGGGUUGUAAACCUCUUUUCUUAGGGAAGAAGUUCUGACGGUACCUAAGGAAUAAGCAUCGGCUAACUCCGUGCCAGCAGCCGCGGUAAUACGGAGGAUGCAAGCGUUAUCCGGAAUCACUGGGCGUAAAGCGUCUGUAGGUUGUUUAGUAAGUCUGCUGUUAAAGAUUGGGGCUCAACCCCAAAGCAGCAGUGGAAACUGCUAAGCUAGAGUAUGGUAAGGGUAAAGGGAAUUCCCAGUGUAGCGGUGAAAUGCGUAGAUAUUGGGAAGAACACCAGAGGCGAAAGCGCUUUACUAGACCAUUGCUGACACUCAGAGACGAAAGCUAGGGGAGCGAAUGGGAUUAGAUACCCCCGUAGUCC
rnacentral:rRNA from 1 species